GCGGAGCUCCGCCUCGGAAGCCGGCGUCCAGAACCGGGGGGCAAGGCCCAGGGCGCAGUGGUAGGACAGCAGUUACUUCGCUCAGGUAUUUCAUCAUAGAAAUGUGAAGCUGACUGAUACACCCUUCCACCGAUGCUUUGAGAUCCUCACAUUCCAGACUCCCUUUCAGUUUGUGCCCGUGUGAUGCAAUUCUUACCAAUCAAAUGUAAAGGAUUUCUCAAGCUGGGAAUGGGGUUGGAAGUGCCAGAAAAGGUUGCAAUUUGCUGAGUUGUUGAAUGUAAACCACAUUAAUUCUUAUCUCUCUCUAGUGUACCUUCCUGAAAGAAAGGC
ensembl:lncRNA